ACAGCUCGUUCGGAAUGCUCGUUACGCGCACUUAAAAAAUUUAUUUCGCAUUUAAUUCAUCAAAAGUUGUCAGCGAAGUAAUUACGCAGAUUGUCUGACUUUCUGUGGGUGGGAAGAUUGCACAAGGAAUCUGCCUAAUGAGCGCCAUUUUCAUGGCAUUUACUGCCAAUGCCGCACAAAAAAGGACAUAAAAAGGACACAAGGGCGCUGCAUAAUUGCUGUAAUUUGUGACCACUUAAGAGGACAUACUAUAUGCCGACAACUUGUCUGAGAAGGAUCAAGUGUCCGUCGAUCGGCGAUCUUCCUUUCUUUUAAACAUCGAAGGGAAAAUAAACUAUGUAUAAAUUGCCAACACACCGCAACAUGCAAUUGCAAACGAAAACAUUUCCGACAGGAUAUUAAGGAUGCUAAGUACGCUGGCGACAACUGGGAAACCCGAUACUUUUGUGUCAACUGCUCCCGCUCCAGCUAAGUAUUUCAAAGCGAGCCGACCCAAGAGAUCCUUUCCAGCUGAGACUCCUCAGAAAGUAAUCAUUUGACUGGAUUGAUUUUUUAUCUGGUGAUGCUUUUGGAAAAGCUAAUACAAUAUUGCAUACGUUUAGAUCAUGUGAAGACUCCUACCUGGCAGGGCACUCAGCAGCGGUGGCGAUAGCCAGGGAUCCACGGGCAGUCCGGAGGCACCGCAACCCAGGCGAUGGGGCAGCUGGGUGAAGUGGGUCAGGCCCAAACGAAGGC